rnacentral:lncRNA from 1 species
UAAUAGGACAACGAGUUCAUUGGCCCAUAAACAAUUUACUCCUCACAUUGAUGACAUUGUUCCUCUUCUCAGCUCACAUCAUAGUCACACAAUUAAUUCUUCUUAUCACACACACAUAGUGACACAUACAUGUCCUAAACCAAUACUUUGAACUUCAAAUUUCAUGUUCCAGAUUUAUGUUUGUCUAGUGUCUACCUACCCUUUUUACUUGCCUUCAUAGACUCUCGUACCCACUUCUACAAUUAAAUUAAUAAGUACACUCACCACAAAACAUGGAUCACUGUACUUCUACCCUUUCAACUUCCACACAACCAACUCAUUGUGCUGAACAUUCAAGCUUGAAGAAGAGGUUCCUUGACAAGGCUAAGGAACAGAUGUCUAGGAUCUAUAUAUUGAAGAGAUGCAUUAUUAUGUUAUUAUGUUGGCAAAAGUACGACCACUAUUGAUUUUCAAAAAUACUUGUUUUUUCUUCUUUCUUUUCCAUUAUAGCAGUUGCAAGUACACUUGCGGUUCUUAAUUUAGAACUAUAUAGUAUUUGUAGGGUGUUGCAAGUUCUUAAUUUAGAACUAUAUAGUAUUUGUAGGGUGUUCAUGUGAAUGUACAACUAAGAAAUCCAAGUUUAAAUUGUGGUUUAGUGUGUGGUGUAGAAGAAGGUGAAAGAGCAACAAUGAUUUCACAUGGUGAUAGAGACAGGUCGUGGCUAUUAAGUGAAGUUGCUUUUGGAAGGAUUUGGGUAAAGAAUAUGGGGUUUGUUACAUUUUCUAUUGUAUAUUUUGCCAGGUAAAAAAUUAACAGCAAAUAAUCUUUACAUUUUCUAUGUAUACGGUUCAGGCACUCAAAUAUUUUGUUUCCAAGAUAUUCUCUUAUUAACUGAAAUUAAAAUAGAUUCUACUAAAUUUUGUUUCCAAGACAUUCUCUUAUAAGACUCAUUUGAAUUUUAAGUGAUUAAAGUGUGUUGGGAGGAGGGUGUUUGUUAGAGAUGGUCAUGUUAGCACUCUUCUAUAGAAUUUUGUUUUUCA